rnacentral:rRNA from 1 species
GACGAACGCUGGCGGCGUGCCUAAUACAUGCAAGUAGAACGCUGAAGGAGGAGCUUGCUUCUCUGGAUGAGUUGCGAACGGGUGAGUAACGCGUAGGUAACCUGCCUGGUAGCGGGGGAUAACUAUUGGAAACGAUAGCUAGUACCGCAUAAUAGCAGUUAUUGCAUGAUAACUGUUUGAAAGGUGCAAUUGCACCACUACCAGAUGGACCUGCGUUGUAUUAGCUAGUUGGUGGGGUAACGGCUCACCAAGGCGACGAUACAUAGCCGACCUGAGAGGGUGAUCGGCCACACUGGGACUGAGACACGGCCCAGACUCCUACGGGAGGCAGCAGUAGGGAAUCUUCGGCAAUGGACGGAAGUCUGACCGAGCAACGCCGCGUGAGUGAAGAAGGUUUUCGGAUCGUAAAGCUCUGUUGUAAGAGAAGAACGAGUGUGAGAGUGGAAAGUUCACACUGUGACGGUAUCUUACCAGAAAGGGACGGCUAACUACGUG